rnacentral:rRNA from 1 species
GGUCCAGACUACCGAGCCUGAUCAGCAUGCCGCGUGUGUGAAGAAGGCCUUCGGGUUGUAAAGCACUUUYAUCGGGAACGAAACGUCGUCGGCCAAUACCCGGCGAAACUGAUGGUUCCCGAGGAAUAAGCACCGGCUAACUCCGUG